CAGUAAGUAGUUUAAUAAAAUAUUAAUUUUGGGGAUUAAAGUUAAGUGUAUGCUUUUUACUGA
rnacentral:tRNA from 1 species